rnacentral:rRNA from 1 species
GUGGUAUGGCGGCAGCUUACACAUGCAAGUCGAGCGGGGAAGGGUAGCUUGCUACCUGACCUAGCGGCGGACGGGUGAGUAAUGCUUAGGAAUCUGCCUAUUAGUGGGGGUCAACAUUCCGAAAGGAAUGCUAAUACCGCAUACGCCCUACGGGGGAAAGCAGGGGAUCUUCGGACCUUGCGCUAAUAGAUGAGCCUAAGUCAGAUUAGCUAGUUGGUGGGGUAAAGGCCUACCAAGGCGACGAUCUGUAGCGGGUCUGAGAGGAUGAUCCGCCACACUGGGACUGAGACACGGCCCAGACUCCUACGGGAGGCAGCAGUGGGGAAUAUUGGACAAUGGGCGAAAGCCUGAUCCAGCCAUGCCGCGUGUGUGAAGAAGGCCUUUUGGCUGUAAAGCACUUUAAGCGAGGAGGAGGCUACUGAGAUUAAUACUCUUGGAUAGUGGACGUUACUCGCAGAAUAAGCACCGGCUAACUCUGUGCCAGCAGCCGCGGUAAUACAGAGGGUGCGAGCGUUAAUCGGAUUUACCGGGCGUAAAGCGUGCGUAGGCGGCUUUUUAAGUCGGAUGUGAAAUCCCUGAGCUUAACUUAGGAAUUGCAUUCGAUACUGGGAAGCUAGAGUAUGGGAGAGGAUGGUAGAAUUCCAGGUGUAGCGGUGAAAUGCGUAGAGAUCUGGAGGAAUACCGAUGGCGAAGGCAGCCAUCUGGCCUAAUACUGACGCUGAGGUACGAAAGCAUGGGGAGCAAACAGGAUUAGAUACCCUGACAGUCCAUGCCGUAAACGAUGUCUACUAGCCGUUGGGGCCUUUGAGGCUUUAGUGGCGCAGCUAACGCGAUAAGUAGACCGCCUGGGGAGUACGGUCGCAAGACUAAAACUCAAAUGAAUUGACGGGGGCCCGCACAAGCGGUGAGCAUGUGGUUUAAUUCGAUGCAACGCGAAGAACCUUACCUGGUCUUG